rnacentral:tRNA from 1 species
UGAGAAAUCGUCUAAUGGUAGGACACCUCCCUUUGAAGGAGUUUAUCUAGGUUCGAGUCCUAGUUUCUCAG